AAGGUGCUAGUAAAACAAUAUUACACUGCUUUGUCAAGGCAGAAUCGCUGGUUAGAACCCUGCGCACCUUA
rnacentral:tRNA from 1 species